rnacentral:rRNA from 1 species
AAGACCUUGCGCUUUUGGAGCGGCCGAUGCCUGAUUAGCUUGUUGGUGAGGUAAAAGCUUACCAAGGCUUCGAUCAGUAGCUGGUCUGAGAGGACGGCCAGCCACACUGGGACUGAGACACGGCCCAGACUCCUACGGGAGGCAGCAGUGGGGAAUUUUGGACAAUGGGGGCAACCCUGAUCCAGCCAUGCCGCGUGAGUGAAGAAGGCCUUCGGGUUGUAAAGCUCUUUCAGCCGGAACGAAACGGUUACGGUUAAUACCCGUGACUACUGACGGUACCGGAAGAAGAAGCACCGGCUAACUACGUGCCAGCAGCCGCGGUAAUACGUAGGGUGCAAGCGUUAAUCGGAAUUACUGGGCGUAAAGCGUGCGCAGGUGGUUUUGUAAGUCAGAUGUGAAAUCCCCGGGCUUAACCUGGGAACU